GAAUAUUGGCCAAUGGGGGCAACCCUGAUCCAGCCAUGCCGCGUGUGUGAAGAAGGCCUUUUGGUUGUAAAGCACUUUAAGCAGUGAAGAAGACUCCAUGGUUAAUACCCAUGGACGAUGACAUUAGCUGCAGAAUAAGCACCGCCUAACUACGUGCCAGCCGCCGCGGUAAUACAGAGGGUGCAAGCGUUAAUCGGAAUUACUGGGCGUAAAGCGAGCGUAGGUGGCUUGAUAAGUCAGAUGUGAAAUCCCCGGGCUUAACCUGGGAACUGCAUCUGAUACUGUUAGGCUAGCAUAGGUGAGAGGAAGGUAAAAGUCCAGGUGUAGCGGUGAAAUGCGUAGAGAUCUGGAGGAACACCGAUGACGAAGGCAGCCUUCUGGCAUCAUAUUGACACUGAGGUUCGAAAGCGUGGGUAGCAAAC
rnacentral:rRNA from 1 species